rnacentral:rRNA from 1 species
GACGAACGCUGGCGGCGUGCUUAACACAUGCAAGUCGAACGGAAAGGCCCUGCUUUUGUGGGGUGCUCGAGUGGCGAACGGGUGAGUAACACGUGAGUAACCUGCCCUUGACUUUGGGAUAACUUCAGGAAACUUGGGCUAAUACCUGAUAGGAGCUCCUGCUGCAUGGUGGGGGUUGGAAAGUUUCGGCGGUUGGGGAUGGACUCGCGGCUUAUCAGCUUGUUGGUGGGGUAGUGGCUUACCAAGGCUUUGACGGGUAGCCGGCCUGAGAGGGUGACCGGCCACAUUGGGACUGAGAUACGGCCCAGACUGCUACGGGAGGCAGCAGUGGGGAAUAUUGCACAAUGGGCGGAAGCCUGAUGCAGCAACGCCGCGUGCGGGAUGACGGCCUUCGGGUUGUAAAACGCUUUCGCCUGUGACGAAGCGUGAGUGACGGUAAUGGGUAAAGAAGCACCGGCUAACUACGUG